GCCCGAGUAGCUCAGCCGGCAGAGCAACGCACUCGUAAUGCGUAGGUCAGCGGUUCGAUUCCGCUCUCGGGCU
rnacentral:tRNA from 3 species